CGGCGUGGCGGCAGGCUACACAUGCAGUCGAGCGGAACGAGUUAUCUGAACCUUCGGGGAACGAUAACGGCGUCGAGCGGCGGACGGGUGAGUAAUGCCUAGGAAAUUGCCCUGAUGUGGGGGAUAACCAUUGGAAACGAUGGCUAAUACCGCAUAAUGCCUACGGGCCAAAGAGGGGGACCUUCGGGCCUCUCGCGUCAGGAUAUGCCUAGGUGGGAUUAGCUAGUUGGUGAGGUAAUGGCUCACCAAGGCGACGAUCCCUAGCUGGUCUGAGAGGAUGAUCAGCCACACUGGAACUGAGACACGGUCCAGACUCCUACGGGAGGCAGCAGUGGGGAAUAUUGCACAAUGGGCGCAAGCCUGAUGCAGCCAUGCCGCGUGUGUGAAGAAGGCCUUCGGGUUGUAAAGCACUUUCAGUCGUGAGGAAGGUAGUGUAGUUAAUAGCUGCAUUAUUUGACGUUAGCGACAGAAGAAGCACCGGCUAACUCCGUGCCAGCAGCCGCGGUAAUACGGAGGGUGCGAGCGUUAAUCGGAAUUACUGGGCGUAAAGCGCAUGCAGGUGGUUUGUUAAGUCAGAUGUGAAAGCCCGGGGCUCAACCUCGGAAUAGCAUUUGAAACUGGCAGACUAGAGUACUGUAGAGGGGGGUAGAAUUUCAGGUGUAGCGGUGAAAUGCGUAGAGAUCUGAAGGAAUACCGGUGGCGAAGGCGGCCCCCUGGACAGAUACUGACACUCAGAUGCGAAAGCGUGGGGAGCAAACAGGAUUAGAUACCCUGGUAGUCCACGCCGUAAACGAUGUCUACUUGGAGGUUGUGGCCUUGAGCCGUGGCUUUCGGAGCUAACGCGUUAAGUAGACCGCCUGGGGAGUACGGUCGCAAGAUUAAAACUCAAAUGAAUUGACGGGGGCCCGCACAAGCGGUGGAGCAUGUGGUUUAAUUCGAUGCAACGCGAAGAACCUUACCUACUCUUGACAUCCAGAGAACUUUCCAGAAAUGGAUUGGUG
rnacentral:rRNA from 1 species